GGGGGGUGUGGAGCCAGGGGGC
rnacentral:miRNA from 1 species